rnacentral:rRNA from 1 species
UACGAAGGGGCUAGCGUUGCUCGGAAUCACUGGGCGUAAAGCGCACGUAGGCGGCUUUCUAAGUCAGGGGUGAAAUCCUGGAGCUCAACUCCAGAACUGCCUUUGAUACUGGAGCUUGAGUCCGGGAGAGGUGAGUGGAACUCCGAGUGUAGAGGUGAAAUUCGUAGAUAUUCGGAAGAACACCAGUGGCGAAGGCGGCUCACUGGCCCGGUACUGACGCUGAUGUGCGAAAGCGUGGGAGCAAACAGG